AAGUCGUAACAAGGUCUCCGUUGGUGAACCAGCGGAGGGAUCAUUACAGAGUUGCAAAACUCCCUAAACCAUUGUGAACGUUACCUAAACCGUUGCUUCGGCGGGCGGCCCGGGUCCUUCCCGGCGCCCCUCGGCCCUCGCGGGCGCCCGCCGGAGGUAAACCAAACUAUUGCAUUGUAUGGCCUCUCCGAGUCUUCUGUACUGAAUAAGUCAAAACUUUCAACAACGGAUCUCUUGGUUCUG
rnacentral:misc_RNA from 1 species